CUGAGGAGACUACUUGUUCUGAGCUACGUUUCCUGCCUUGUCUGUUCUGCGAGGGUUCUGAUGCUUUGGCCUGUGUUGUAGCUGUUGUGUCCAAUGUUGUAAACUGCCUGGGUUGCAUUUCUUCAUUGGUGCUAGCAAGAGGUCUUUUGAAAGAGCCUGUAGUUCAAACAACAACAUGCAGACCCUAUACUACUUAG